rnacentral:lncRNA from 1 species
GGAUUUUUGGCAAGUCGAUCUCGUUUCUCCCUGGAAAUGUCGAGGUUGCCUAAAAAUGUCGAUCCCACAUUUUUCUGAGGAUGUCGAAGACUGCUGACCCUUUUCUAAAGGUGUCGAAUUUUUGACAAGUCGAUCUCAUUUCUCCCUGGAAAUGUCGAAGUUGUCUAAAAAAGUCGAUCCCACCUUUUCCUGAGGAUGUCGAUGACUGCCGAUCCUUUUCUAAAGGUGUCGAAUUUUUGACAAGUCGACCUCAUUUCUCCCUGGAAAUGUCGAUGUUGUCUAAAAAUGUCGAUCUCACCUUUUUCUGAGGAUGUCGAUGAGAGUGGUGUGGAAUGUCGAUCCUGACCUUCUCUUUUGAAGGUUUCGAGUUCCUUGCCAAAUGUCGACGCCUAUCCCCUUUUCCUGGGAAUGUCGAACAUGCUUACCUGCGGAAUGUCGAUCCUGACCUUCUCUUUGGAAGGUUUCGACUUCCUUGUUAAAUGUCGACGCCUAUCCCCUUUUCCUGGGAAUGUCGAACAUGCUUACCUGCGGAAUGUCGAACCUGACCUUCUCUUUUGAAGGUAUCGACUUCCUUGUUAAAUGUCGACGCCUAUCCCCUUUUCUUGGGAAUGUCGAACAUGCUUACCUGCGGAAUGUCGAACCUGACCUUCUCUUUUGAAGGUAUCGACUUCCUUGUUAAAUGUCGACGCCUAUCCCCUUUUCUUGGGAAUGUCGAACAUGCUUACCUGCGGAAUGUCGAUCCUGACAUUCUCUUUUGAAGGUAU